UCUGAGGGUAACAGUGUCUGGAAAUUCUGCUUGCUUUCCAAAAAGCGAGGAAUGAACUCUGGGUUUAGCCAUUGCCUGUCUGCUCAGGGUUGAGGAACAAGAAGGGUGUGGAGACUGAAUGCCUGGUCAGGCACUCAGAGGAAACAUAGGAAACCAUAAAACUGCCAGAGCUGGAAGUGAGACCUUUUCCUUGAAGAAUAGUCAAGAAUGUGCACAGCCCUGAUCAGACUGGAAAGCUGCACUGGCCUGUGCUGAUGGGACAACUGUAUCUAUCUUACAAUCUGCAUUGUGACAAUCUGCAGCAUCUUCAAAACUAAGCAAGAGCUGAGGCAGCUAGAGAGGAUUUGGAAGAAUGAGUUGGAAGACUUAUUUACCUUGGUAC